GGUUGAUCCUGCCAGUAGUCAUAUGCUUGUCUCAAAGAUUAAGCCAUGCAUGUCUAAGUAUAAGCAAUUAUACAGUGAAACUGCGAAUGGCUCAUUAAAUCAGUUAUCGUUUAUUUGAUAGUACCUUACUACUUGGAUAUCCGUGGUAAUUCUAGAGCUAAUACAUGCUUAAAAUCCCGACCUCUGGAAGGGAUGUAUUUAUUAGAUAAAAAAUCAAUGUCUUCGGACUCUUUGAUGAUUCAUAAUAACUUUUCGAAUCGCAUGGCCUUGUGCUGGCGAUGGUUCAUUCAAAU
rnacentral:rRNA from 1 species